AGAGGUGUAAAAAAACUAUCAUGUACAUCCAUUCCAUGAAAAGAGAUCAAUACAUGUAUAGGUUUUACCAACACAAUAUAGCAUACCAAUAUCAUCAACUACACGAAGAUAAUCAAAAUUAUUAGUAUCUUAGACAUUCAUUUAAAUUGAACACUCAAACUAAAAAUGAUUACAAAUUAAAACAAAAUGAAAACGAAAAAAC
rnacentral:lncRNA from 1 species